rnacentral:lncRNA from 1 species
UUGAAGUUUAACACGUCACGUAUAACAAAGACUCUUGCAGUACUGAUAAAAGACUGGGAAAGUGCCCUUAAAUGGGCAAGCUGGCUUCCUUUCCACCACUGGAUCCUGCACAAACUUACUACCUUCAAAGCUCAUCUGCAGCCUUGCCCUCCCACUUCUCUCUCCACUUCUAUUUUCCAAUGCAUCCCUUCCUGUAACCUCCUCUUGUCCACCACUUAGCUGUCCAAAGGUUUCCUGCAUCCUGAAACAACUCUGCUCUUCCUGCCUUCCUGCCCAUUAUGCCUGGAACUGCGUCCAGAAGGCCUUUGCAACCUCCUCCCUUCCUUAACGUCCCUCCUCAAAAUUCAUUUAUUUUGUAGAAGACUUUUGGAACAACCAAAGUGCAUGGAGUUGAAAUAAUUUCACAUUCCCCCGUUUACCCCUACCUCCAUUUCCCGUUCCCUCUUCUAUGUUUUAGAUUGCAAGCAUUUUGGAGUAGGGACUUGUGAAACCUGUUCUUUGUGAAGCUCUGUAUACAUGCAUGCCACUGUCAUCAUCAUCAAGCUUAAAAAAAGGGUAAGAAUCACUUUGUUAUAUUAGAUCAAGAUCUAUUUAAGCUGCAGCAGUUCUGUGCACACCUAAGUAUAAGCCUCGCUGAACAUAGUGGGACUUUCUUCUGAGUAAACAUGCACAGGCUUGCCUUGUUAGUCCAACAUUGUGUUUUCAGUGACGGCCAAGCAGAUUCCCCUGGAACGUUCAUAACAGGACAUGAUGAAGAUAGCCAACCCAUUAUUGUUAUCAGUAUGUGGAAACCAGAGGUAUUCUACCUCUAAACAUAAAAGUCUCAUUUAUAUCUGUCAUUCCUAACAUUAAUGCACUUGUCUUUCCUCCACUAGUCUUUUUACAAAUCUUUUAUAUAUUUUUUAAUAAAAUAUUUAUGCUUUUUUAAUGUUCAGAGAUAGCAUACUCCCACUUACCAAGUACUAAGGAUAAUAAGGUUUGGCUAGCUUCAUUGACUUUUAAAUUCUAGAAAUCAGGUGAACCAAAUACAUCAAGAUGAGGAACCUCAUCCCUGACAUUUUGACGAUUUCUGCCCUGACACUGCUUCCGGAUGCAGUAUUCCAUGCAUGUCCGGGAAAUUCCAGAUGUAUGGCAAUCCUAGCUUCACUGCAUGAAUUACCCACCCUUUUACUGGACUACACCAGUUUUGGACUUGCCAAAUUUAAUUGUUAAAAAGCAGGGUUUGUUUGCUUUUUUAAAGGCAGCAAUAUUACACCCAUUGAUCUUCAAGGAAGUCCCACAGAGCGCAAUGGGAUUCCACUGUUAUAUGUAGUGCUCUAAGGAGUUCUGAUGUAUGAUAUCCCAUUAACAUAUAUGGCAACUGUGUAACCACUUUCAUUAUCUAGCCCCUCUACUCAGGAGUCAGAUUCUCAAGUUGGAUGGUCAGAUGCAAAAGAGGGCAGGGCUCCUGUACCUUUAAAAGUUAUGUAGAAAGCAGGGAAUAUCAGUAGGGUUAGGCGUGGUCAUCCAAGCUACAGCUGCAGAAUAUUGCCACCUCUACACAACUGUGGCAAAGGUGCAGGAAUCCUGUCCUCUUUAACCUCUGUUCGAUCUCCUGCUAAAUAAAAGUUGGACCUACUGUAUCAAGGUAUGAAGCUAACAUACACACUAAGAACCAUCAUUUUGAAGCUGGUCAAGCAAAUUGAUGGGAAGUUUGCAUCACCAAUGUUAAUCACAAUAGUCAAUGUCAAAUCUUUAGUGAAAGAAAAUUAGCAGUGAAAUUCUGUGGAUAUUUAUUCAGAAGUAAGUUCUAGUUUUCUAUGUUUGUAAUGCUUAAAAAAAAAGGCAACAUCAGAUUAUAACUGAAGUUUAUAAAGCACUAGAGGGGCUCUAGUAAAAUAAAAGAGAUGUUCAUUCCAAAAUUCAGACACUCUUGUAUCUAAACACUUUCCUGGUACCAUGUAUGAUAAGGUGUUCUGUGGUGGGAUUCAUGGGUUGGCAGAGAAUGAAUUAUUAUACAGGUAACUUCUUUUCUUUGUGCUCAACACAGAAAGCAUGGGAUACCAGAGGAAGGAAGCCUCCUUCUUGUCUAGCAUUGAAAUUCAGCAGGCUGCUGGAAGAGGGACAGAAUCUGCUAUCCAUUCUGUCAGCCCAUAGCAAGCCAGAGCAAGAUGCUCUGAACACAUAAACACAAAUCCUGGUGUGACUGCACUAGCUACCAAUUUACUUAUUGCUGUAAGCUGCUUUGAGUUACUUUUGUUAAGAAAAACACCUAAGUUUGAUAAAUAAUAACAGUUUCAAGCAAAC